UCACACUUGCAAAGAGCUCCUACUCUAGCACUCAGCUUUCUCAGCAUGUUGUGCAAGUGUUAGGCUCUCACACAAAAGGUGCUUCCCACCAUGAAGUUAAAACUUUUGAACUCACCACUGUGCUUGUAGUAGGUAUUGUGCAUGGAAAAAGAUUUUUCAGAGGGCAAAAAGACACGUUUUCACAGGGAUAUCUUCUUCCCUAUAGACACCAUCCAGAUAAAUACCCUACCUUUGCACCAAAUCUGAAAAUGCGUGUUCUUACAAAACAGUUGAAAGAAUUUAUUUAAAAGCAGCAGAGUGAGUCAGUUUUAACUGUUUUUGUUCUUGGAAAUGCCUAUGACUUUUUGACUGAAGCGUUCCUGAACAAUUCAUCCUGAUUCUGAUGCUCAAAAUGGAGACUUCUGGCCCAGAAGGGAACAGCUUGGCAGUGGUGUAAUUGGCAGCACAUUAUUUCCUAUAAUGAAAAGUGAAUGGCAGCCUGAACUAUAGUUAUGUACUUGAGGCAGGAGACUAGAGACUGAACAAGUGCUCUCAGCUAACCCAGCCGUCACAGUGGUAACGCCACAGGGGUUGUGUGCAGGAGAAAGCUGAGACAGUUUUGCCAAGAGCUGGCUGGUGCCAGUGAAGUGCCUGCCUGGCAGUGCUCUCACAGGCAAACUUUCCACCCACAUCAAGACUUCUGGCUGCAUGUUGCCUUUGGUACUGAAUUCUAGGUCGAUACACUUUGUUAGCUGACUCAGAAUCUGUUCUGGAGCUUGGGAAAUAUGGCAAGUUACAGCUUUUGGUUUCUUUCAGGGUUACUGCUAGUUUAGCAUUAAACAAAGACAGGAGGCUAAUCGGGAUGGGAGGGACUUUUUGGACAAGGAAUUCUUCUCGUGGAUUGGCAGCCAACAUCUGAGAUAGUUACCACAGCCAGUCAGCAACUACGAUGGAGGGGGAAGGAUCAAGAAAGGCACAAGACUGUUGAGCUCCUAGCAUUUCCCUCAUUUGAGCACAAACCAAGAUGACUUCACCCUGUCAGUGCUUAGCCCUGAUAUAAUCUACUCAUAUUAACUGUUUCCCUUGAGGACUGUAAUACUUCAGGCAUGUCUACGCUGUCAAAUAACUCAUGGCUUAUUCCCAGGUCCUGAUCCUCGUAUUGCCCACACUUCACAAAUACUUGAUGGUGCCCAGGUUCUCUUUAGAUAUUAAUUAUAAUAUCUGUCCAAAACAAGCUCAGAAAAAAAAAAAAUAAAAAUUAGACUUGAUCCAUCGUUAUAUCUGUGAAAGAGCAAGGAGUUUUAGGCAAGUUUUUAAUUGCCUCACAACACAAAAGAAGAGUCAAAAAUACUGAUUACUGGUAAGGGCUCUGUGUUUCAGCAUGUUUCAUAUUUUCUUCCCAGGGGACAGAUCUAAAAGGUAGGUAGAGUACUCAAGAGCCGAAGAGCAAUUAUGUAUUAUGCAAGAUGUUUAAGAAGCAGCUUCAAGGCCAUCUUGCCAGUCUCUUCUAUCAUUUUUUUUUCUUUCUUUCUUUUGGAGAGGCUGAAAUCUCUGUCUGAAGCACAACUGGCUCCUACAGGAGAUCCAUCAGGCUGUUGCACAUCCCCUCCUCGCUUUGCAGUUACCAAUUUUCUAAUUAACUUGCUGUGCCUGCCCCCAUUAAAUCAAUCAGAGCCUUGCCGCUGAUUGCAAGGGGAAUGGGAGCAGGCUUUUGCAGCAAGGCUCAGCAUCUGCUGGAGCCAGGUUUUCCAAGUGGCACCACGUGCAAGUCACCAGUCCCUGGAGGAGCCACCAGCGAGCGAGUUUUUGCCAGUGCUGCUGGACUCAGCUGCGGAUGCAGAGCACUUGAAAACAACUUGAGAGCCCAGCGGUGCCCCAGUGAGUGUGACAGCAGUGACGAGCUGUCAGCAGCUCGAGGAGAGGCAGUCGGCGUGCUUCCCCUUGCCUGGCUGAAGCUGAGGGUCUGGUGAGUGGUUGAAGAGGAACAUCCAGGCCCCUGAGGUCCCAGGGACACGUCUGAAGUACUUACGCUGUUAACAAGGAGGGAGAAGGAAAAGCUGCUCAUCCUGAACACCGGGAGGAAUUGAAGUUCUGGUGGUGGUGUUUUUAGGAAACAACAGGGUGUUUGUUGUGUGCUCUUAUACCCAAGCCAUUGCUAAGUUUGCGAGCAGCUGUCAUCAGUGGGGUUUUCAACAAACUGCCAGGCUUUCCCAGACCAUGUAGCCUUUUGUUCUCAAAAAACAAAUGCCAGCAUGUCAUCAUCUGCUCUCAGUGGCCAGUAAAAGGAAUCUCUCACUCUGCCUUAGAGAUUUUGCCAUCAGCUGCCGAGGGCUCUGGUCUCCGAGAGUCUGUGGGGUCCACCAGGGACAGGCAUCUCCUGGCAAAGGAGAGGAGGAAUUGCUGAGUGACCUCCCAAAGUGAACAGAACUGAUGGGGUGCAGCAGGUUUAGCUAAUUCAGCUCCUGGAUAUCAUAGAGUUUAUAGAUGCUUUAGCAUAUAACUGGUUUAAAAAAAAAAAAAUAAUAGGAACUUUAUAAUUGAUUUUAAUCUUAAAAAAUCAAUUUUUUAGUCAGUAAAACAUCAGUUUUAUGAUCCCCUUGAUUGAAAAAUGAUCUUGAAAAAUGUGUCCUUACAGUACACCACAUACUCCAACACAUCAGUGUCCUGUGGCUGUGCUGUGGCUAGCAAUGCAGUUAUCUGCACUAAUAUCUGCACCAAUAUUUCCUUCAGCUACCUGAUUCUCUUCUUACUGCCCUUCUCCUGGAUCUUACUGUUCUUACUGCUGGCUCCUGGACAGGGCUGCUCACGGGCUUAUUGACUUGGGUGAGUUCUGCCACACUCCAUUCUUUUUCUCUUAGUUUUAUUCUUCUGCAAAUCUUACAGCUUAGUAGGAUUGAUUAUCCUACUUACCUGUUUCUAUCCAUGCAGCCAACCUCCAUUUCCAACCCUAACCAUGUGUGAUUCUGUGAAUUUUUUUAUUUUUAUUUUUAUUUUCUGAAGGACUGAGAGUCAAAUCCCUAAGACACCCAGGUAACUGACCUGACAUGGAAAUCAAGAGGACCUUAUUACAAAAAAACCUCUGAUACACAUUGGCCCACCAGCCCACGGUUUGUAUCUCAGGGCACCUCUCACAUCUGAGCUGCUAGAUUGCAGCGUGGGGAAAAGCAUCACGGAUUUCCCCUUUGCCUGAGCAUUAGUGGUCAUACAGAGGAGUCAGCAUGGCUUGGAUUCAAAUCUGCGGGGGAAAUCAGCCUCUGAAAUAAUUACUCAUCUCAGGGAAAUUGCAGCAGGGUUGAUUAUAAUUAGCCUGACUAGUAUAUGUAGCGUUCCUUAGUUUUUAACCUCCAAUCACAUAGGCUCAUGCGCUUACAUUGGUCAAUAUCAUCCUCCCGGUAUUUUUAUUCAAAUGAGACAUUUGAUAGAAAUUCACUCCUACAAACAUGUAUAUGUGAUUUCUCGUCAUUUUGUACAGUUUUCUCAGAAACCUGUUCUAGCAAUACAACAUUGUACUUUUCAGCAGUUUUCUUGUACUUCUUCUUCUACUAUGCACUGUCAGAUUGUACUUGUCAGCCUCUUUUAUUCUCCCUCUAAAUAUACUUUCUAAAAAUGUUUAGGUUUUCCCCUUAUGGUUAACAUCUGUGGGACUUUCACGUACUCCGGUAGUGAUCAGGAAACAUAAGCCAAGAAGCAACAAUUUCAGAUUGCAUUCCCGAUGUAACAAUCCUGCCUCUGUUACAGGCAGAACGCACAUGGGUCUUCAUUGUGAGGCAAAGCCCGGAUCAACUAGAAUUCAGGGAAGAUGAAUAAUCAGAAUCAGAGAUAAAAUUCAAGGCAACUUGCAGAAACUAAGCUGUUAAAAUGCUGUGCAAAGUGUGGGAGUUGUCACUGGUUUGAGAUUUGUAGCCCUUUGCUUGUAAAGCCCAAACAUUGAGGUUCAUUUACACUGACUGUUCACAUUUCAGGAUCUGAGACAUUUAAAACAGCUCUUGAAAUAACCUGGGAUAGCUCCUGCUUUUUUUCAUUAUUUUUUUUUUCUCCUGCACAGUCACCUUGUCGUUUUAAAGUCUGGUGUCUUGGGAUCUCAUAAAGCUCAGAGAGCAAGUGCUGUGUGAGAACGAUCUCCUGCUUCCCCAGCAGUACGGAGCUCCUGUUUCUACUCCAGAGGAGACAAAGCCUGUGAGAUACGGCUGAUGUCCAUCUUUCCCUUUUUUGGGUCAGCAGGUGCCCCUGCUCCACACCUGUGAGAUUCUACCCUGCUGAAGAAGGCAGUGGCAGUGAAAAUGCAGAAAGCAUCCUAAGAUCUGUCCAGACACAGAGUGGAUGGCUCCAGCAGUUCUGGAGGUGUGGAUGUUCAGCUUACUCAUGUAUGCAAGUAAAGGUAAAUGCUGUCAGUUCAGAAUUUUCCUUUCCGGAUCCUAACAAAGCUUUCUGUUUACUCUGUAGAACUUUAAAGUAUUUUACAGCUGACAUUACAUUCCGUAUUACCUCCUCCAUCAUUUUCCACUUGAAUCAACCAUGUACCGAACACUAGCGACGUGAUUUGGCAGCAGUUUCCCAAGAAGUCAGCGAACACACUGGAUUCUCAUCCCUAAAAUAUUAAAUCUCCAAAGUAGACUGCAGAGAAUUAUUCAGUCUUAGUCUUCCUUGAAAGAGACACGGGCCUCAGACUCACUGUUGUGUCACUGGGGUUUCAUAAAUCAUUGCUCAUCUACUGAGCUGCUGUAGCUGUCCUCACACAGGCACACAUAGCUUAAAUCUCUUCUCUUGUGGACUGAACUGAAAUCCACUCAUUUUAACAGCACACACAUCAUCGCUUGCUGCCAGAUCGCUGGGUGCACGGUGGCUUGGUGAUCAGUUCUGACUCACUCAGGAGUCUGAGCCCUUAAUUCUUUGUGAUCAAGAACGAUCCCAGCAGCAUUUUGCAAGAACAGGGACGUUUUUACUGGAGUCCCAUGAAGGAGAGUGUGUAGCUACUUUCUUGAAAAUUUUCCUUUGCAUUAUCAACCGAGUGUAAUUUUCUUUUUUUAUGGUUUUGGGUGAAGUUCCUGUGUAAUGUUAAACAGCUGCUUUGUUACAUUCAAGUGAUGGAUGGAGUUAUUCCUGCUGAGAUGCAAUUUCUUAAACACUUUGGCAUCUUAAUGAAUGAAAGAUGCUCUCCACUGAAGGUAAAAUCACUUAGAUCACCUCAGAACUGAGCUCUGAACAUGUGACUAUGCUGAAGCCCGGGAGCCCAAGUGCUGAGCCACUGAAAUAUUUGGGGUGGGAAGGAGGAAUUCCACCAUUAGCUAAAAUAAUGUUUGUGUUCUUUUUUUUUUUUUUUUUAAAAAAAUUAUGUUUCUGAAAUAUGCCUUCAGAAAUGUGUAGUGCCUUUAGAGAGGCAGUAGAGAGUGUGGGGUGGAGCAGCUCAUGGAAAAACACAGCCUGUGAUUUCUUCUUGCAGCCCACAGCUAAAAGGAAGGGAUGCUGUUGGUCCUCUACCCCCAACACACAACCAGCAGCAGUGUUAGCAAUCCCCAUUCCUUGGAUUUUUGGGCAGGGACAGCUUUAACUGUGACUUCUUUCUGAGUGGCUGCUACAGGGCUGGGGAAUGCUGCACUGCUGCUUCCCUCUUGGCAGAUUAUUCCACCCUUUAUCCUACCUUCUUUCUAAGAUUAGCUUUCUGGAAAUAAAUAAUUCUUAAAGCCAGGACAUGAAUUAAAAUCUGUAUGGACCAAAUGCACCCUUAGCUGUCUAUGCAAUAGCCCCUGAGAUAAAUGUUCAUGGCUGAUGACAGGUGAUUCCCACAGGUGUUGUACUGUUUAGGCUGAGUCCCAGGGUGGAUGGUUGAGCAAAUCCUGUUCAGCUAUGGCAUCUUGUUGUUCUUGAACAGAUCUUGCCCUUCCACAGCUGUCCUACAACUCAGGUUUCUCUAAAACACAGGCUUCAGCUGUGUGGUUUUUAACAGAAAAGAUACCCCAAAGAGACACCUGCUUCCUCCGUCUG